CGUGGCAGCCCUGUCUCUUCUGGGGACCCCUGGGCUGGAGUGGAUAGGGCUGCGCCCACUGGGCAAACUCCGCAGUCUCCGGGCCAUUGAGAGACAGACUCCCGAGCAGGCGCCCUGCGGGGUCUCCACGAGGUCCUGGGGGAGCCCUGGAAGCGGGUCCCUGGGCAGGGGACCCAAGACCCCAUCUCUAACUGGAGGACUGAGCCGCCUCCUCCCUCUGGAGACCUGCCCCCGGAUGCCCCGCCCCUUUUUCGUGACCCCCACCUGACCCGGAAGCCAGGCCCGACUGUCUCCAGAAGGACUUGGAGCAGAGGGAAGAGUUCCUCUUGUGUGCUUCUCUUCCCGCUGCGUCCCGCGACUCUGCCUACACGCCUCUGGCCGACCACCCCGUGCCGUGGAGACCCUCGACUUGCUGGCCUUGUGGUGAAGCAACAGGAGCAGUUGUGAUGAGCGAGCCUAUGCAGAGAAAUGUCACCAAGAAGAUCCUUCCUACAUGAAGCGCUGGACAGUCCUCUUCUCCCCUCCCUUCCCCUGGGAACUGGGGAGGUCAGCAACACCCAGCUCUACCAAAGGCCUUUUGAAACAGAUGGAGCCGAGGCUGUGGCCACCGACCAGCCCUGGCUACAAUCGAGCCUAUUUUAAAUAUACUGGUCUUCUGGAAUUCCUAGUUGUUGGAGGAGAUGUCCUAGGAAUAUAUCUGCUGAGCACAAGCUCAAAGUGA
rnacentral:lncRNA from 1 species